GAAAACAAGCCCAAGGCGGUUGCGACUGACGGGUGUGACUGGCGGGCGACAUGGGCUAGAAUUGCUUUCGAGCGCUUAGCAGAUCCCAGCGCCACGCACUCUCCAGUGCUUCAGUGUCCGGGCUGGAGUGCAAUGGUGCAACCUCAGCUCACCGCAGCCUCCGCCUCCCGGGUUCAAGCAAUUCUCCUGCCUCAGAUUUGUUGUUGUCUGUAAACAAUGAGACUAAUUGCAGGCCACCACUUCAUUUACAUGGGGUGAACACCAAGUGGCCAAUGGAAACCCCUAAGGGGUGUUUGGACCCCAGAAGUUUCUAUAUCCAGGCCCUUAAGCUGCUUCUUGGCCGGCUCCCACACUGUGAAGUGUACUUUCAAUAAAUCUCUGCUUUUGUUGCUU